UCAGAUUAAUGGAAUCGUAGGGAAUGAAUGUGGAAAUUUUGUAAAUUUUAAUUUGAUACCAAAAAUAAAAUUGUUUACAACUAUUUAAACAUGAGUUCAACUUGGAAAUAUAAAAUAUGAUAGGGACUACUAAUUAAAUUUCCCUUCUUAAUUGACUCAGCCACUUGUAUUGGAGCCAAUUAUGUAAUCGCUCAUCCAAGCUGGUGACUUGGUGCGUCGGCUCGGUCUGGGGCCGUUGUUUGAACCGGCUGGUUGCUUCCGUCUGCUUGUGUAAGUCGACGAUGGCCAGGAAUUCUUCUUUAACGGCAAGAUACCCCAUCGGCUUCGCAUCAGACACCACAGAUCUUGACGGUCAGUUAUAUCAUCCAUAUUGGCUAAAAAUUUGAUAACGUGUGCUUCGGGUCUAACCCAUUUUUCUAUAUAUUUAACUGUUAGUAGAUGAUCAGCCAAGGCUGAAGCUGUUCUCGAGGAACUUUGCCUUUUACUCAUAUUUCCGUGUGUCUGUCUGGGCCUAUCUAUAUUUUCUCCAUGGGCCUAUCUAUAUUUUCGAGUCCCCACUCUCUGUACUUUGGUUGCCACUUCAUCAGAUGUUAAGUAAGCUACUUGCUCCUGUAACUGUUCUAUUCUGUUCCACAUGUAGUCUUUCCAGUCACGUCUUUCUUGUUCCCUGUUUUGUUCAUCUUCCCCUAUUCUUAUUCUUUUUUCAGCUCUUUUCUCUGAACUUCUCCCACGAUUUUCAUAUUCCUCAGAUUUUUUUCUUUUGAAAAACAGAUCUGCUUUGAUUCAUCUCCCUUUCUUCUCUUAGAUUUCAUGCUUUCGUUACUUAAGCUCCUGCUUGUUUUUGUUGUCUUCCCUGCUUUUGUCUUACUCCGUUUUGUGGGUUCCUGUUCAUCUUUUCUCCUGCAAGAAGAUUCAAACGAACAAGUUUCGAACCUGUUUUGGAAGAUGAAUAACUUACCUUGCUCUUCCAUAAGUGGUUCACCAUUGUUUUUACUCAUAUUGAAUUACUAAUUUAGACUAACUCAGCUUUAGCUCUACUAUCGUACUCUCCCAGUUUUCUCCCCGUUCUUCUUCCUUCUUCUGUCUAUAAAUAACCCUCAUCUAUUGCUUAAACGACGACACAUUGCCCUACCAGGUGUCUCUUGUUACUCGUCACCUGGUCCCCAACUCUGUCUCCACCGGAUUGGUUGAUCAGUACUUGGGUUACCAAAAACAUCAUCCAAUAUUUUAUUUCUUUUAUAAAUCCUGCCUUCAUCAACUUUUUCACUUCUGAAUCGAUCGAUCGGCCGCCUCCUUCCUUCCCUUUUUUUAAACUUCUAACCUUUUGCCUAACUGGAGUUGCCUUUGGAUUGAUGAUUUAUACCCUUGAUUAGAUUGAUGUCGUUUACAAAUAUGAAUUUUUUGUACUCUUUUAGCAGUUUUAAGAGAUUUUCC
rnacentral:lncRNA from 1 species